CCUACGGGAGGCAGCAGUGAGGAAUAUUGCACAAUGGGGGAAACCCUGAUGCAGCGACGCCGCGUGAGGGAAGAAGGAAUUCGGGAUGUAAAGCUCUAUCAGCAGGGAAGAAAAUGACGGGACCUGAGUAAGAAGGCCCGGCUAACUACGUGCCAGCAGCCGCGGUAAUACGUAGGGGGCAAGCGUUAUACGGAUUUUCUGGGUGGAAAGGGAGCGGAGACGGGAGUGCAAGUCUGGAGUGAAAGGCGGGGGCUCAACCCCCGUACUGGUCUGGAAACUGUACGGCUGGAGUGCAGGAGAGGUAAGUGGAAGUCCUAGUGUAGCGGUGAAAUGCGUAGAUAUUAGGAGGAACACCAGUGGCGAAGGCGGCUUACUGGACUGUAACUGACGUUGAGGCACGAAAGCGUGGGGAGCAAACAGGAUUAGAUACCCGAGUAGUC
rnacentral:rRNA from 1 species